UAUACAUAUGUACAUAGUAUCAGGCACAAGUGAACCUGGGGUUGGUUAGGAAAGAAAUGGGGCUGGAUCUUGAGGAAUUAAUUCGGUCUGUACAUGUGGAGCACGAAACACAACAGGCAGAGGGGCACAGAGUACUUGUGUCUACCUUCACAGAGCUGACACACGGCACCUUACAGGGAAGCCAAAAUCUGGAUCAUGGAUCCGCAGGCGGGAGGGAGACAGAUAACAAACCCCUCCCUCCUGCAUUACGAGGGAGGCUGGGAAAAGCCAGAGGAGAAAAAUAACAAACCGUCCACAGAGAAUUAUUCGAUUUUAUUCGAUCAACAAUGAUCACAGCCUCAUUUUUCUUCUCCCGAUCAUCCAAGCCCAUUACUGGGGAGGGCAAUGCAGGCGCGGAGAAUCGAGAAGGUGGGGCUGGGAAGCUGGUAAAAACCCCAAACGUUCCUGUGUUUAUUUCUGCCUGCUUGUCCGGGACCAGUGUUUCACAAAAGGAGUGAGAAAUGAGUAACCACAUGCUGGGCAAGAUGUUCCUGAGAAUGUCAGGAAGCUUGUUUGUCAACCUUAAUUGACAACCGAUGUUUCAGGACAAAGUGUGAUUCUCAUAAUUUAAUGGGACAGCAUUGCUACUUAAUGCCAGAGGGGGCAAGAGCGACUAUAGGGCCAAAGCCUGUAGAGAGGAGAAAUACGGACAAAAUAAUCCCCUUUUUGUUUUAGGAAAAUGUAAAGUGGUGCCCCAGGGAUUGUUGGCAAAUAUUAUCAUCUUUGAAAGCUACUACUUAACACAAAUUCAGGGAAACCAGAGACUUCUGGGUAGUGUUAAUCACAAGGAAAGAAUGCCCUAUUCUGUGGCUGCAACUUUUUAAUGGAAUACUGGUUGAUUUUGAGUGAAGAAGGCCAGGGGUCAGGGUCAGUUUGGGAGAAUUUCCUGCCUGUUUCUCUCAAGGCGCCUCUGCAAGACGCUUCUUUCUUGGCCGUCUUGAAAAGUUUCCUGGGAUCACCCACAUGUGGGAGCCACCCAUACCUCUAGGGGCAGGGCUCCCCUUUUUCUCUACAUGGCUUAACUGAGGGUAGAGCUCAAUAGCUCUGUGUGGACCUCUGUGUGCUGCGAUGGCUUCUGAAGAUCUUUUCUGCGUCAGUUCCUAAUGAAGAGUUCUGUGGUAGGAAAGGGCAGGGUGGGGACUGGGGCAGAAGGGUGCUUCCAAAGAGAGGGCCAGACUUGGAGGGCUCAACGUUUCUAUUAGAGUCAAGGAAUGAUAAACAGCAAUUUGGGGUUCAAGCAUCGGUGGAGGGCAGGUGUGCAGGGGAUGAAGCUGGGAAGAGUUUGGGACCUCCUAGCGCUUAGGGAGAGGAGCUGGCCCCAGCUAGGAUGGAGAGAGUGCCCCUAGAAGUCCCCUCCUGGAUCUGUACCGGUGCAAAUAUGGUGGAAGGGGGAGCCUGAGGAGAGGGAGGUCAGUUAGGAGAAGGAGAGAGUGAGGGGGAAGGGCAGGACUUGCCAGGGUGGAGCACACAGAGAGGAGGGGGACCCAGCGACAUCAAGAACGUGGAAUGGAUAGGAUUUGGUGAUUUCAGUGCAAAUGAUGAAGGAAGAUGAGGCAAGCCCCAUUGGAUGCCGGUGGUGCUCUUUACCCAACAGGAGCAGGGAACUUCUUAUUUACUUCUCUGAUAUUUUCUCUGUACGCUGAUGCUUAUUUUUGGCUGCUAGUGGAAUCUGAAACGGAGAAAGCUAAAGAUGGCUGACUGGUUGCUGCCCCAUUGCUGACAGGAAGAGAGUAGAUAGAACAGCCACUGCUUUCCCUGUGAGCCAGCUUUGUUCCUGGGGGAAAGACACGUAUCCCAGCACGGAAUCACGAGAUCACCUGGCAGCUGUGGACUGGAGGUGUGGCCAUGUGCCCUUAUGCCAGUCUACGCCAUGUGUGCAGAAGGGAGUUGUGCUGCAUCCUGGCAAGGGCCUUUGAGACCUCUCCUGUGCUAGGCUUUAUGCUUUUCUUCCUACCGGCCAACUGAGUUGAGACCUUGGAAACCAAGUCUGAAAGAUCCUGGUGCUGCCAUGAACACAGGCCUCCCUACUCUCCAGAAUCGCAACCUGGACUGUUAUGCGAGUCAGAAAUAAACAUUUAUUAUGUUGAGUCA